rnacentral:rRNA from 1 species
UACGGAGGGUGCAAGCGUUUAUCCGGAUUUACUGGGUUUUAAAAGGGUGCGUAGGCGGGCUUUUAAGUCAGCGGUGAAAUCUCCGGGCUCAACCCGGAAAUUGCCGUUGAUACUAUUAGUCUUGAAUUAAGUUGAGGUGGGCGGAAUAUGUCAUGUAGCGGUGAAAUGCUUAGAUAUGACAUAGAACACCGAUUGCGAAGGCAGCUCGCUAAACUUAUAUUGACGCUGAGCACGAAAGCGUGGGAUCAACAGGA